rnacentral:rRNA from 1 species
UACAGAGGUCCCGAGCGUUGUUCGGAGUUACUGGGCGUAAAGGGUGUGUAGGCGGUUGUUUAAGUUUGGUGUGAAAUCUCCCGGCUCAACCGGGAGGGUGCGCCGAAUACUGAAUGACUAGAGUGCGGGAGAGGAAAGUGGAAUUCCUGGUGUAGCGGUGAAAUGCGUAGAUAUCAGGAGGAACACCGGUGGUGUAGACGGCUUUCUGGACCGUAACUGACGCUGAGACACGAAAGCGUGGGUAGCAAACAGG